UUCUUAUAGAUAGAAUUUUAAGUAGAACCUGCUCAAUGAGAAUUAAAUAGCUGCAGGGGACUGUACUAAGGUAGCAUAAUGAUUUGGCCUUUAAUUUAGGUCUUGAAUGAAUGGUUUGAUGAUAGGUAGUUAGUUUUUUUAAUAAUUUUAAAUUUUACUAUUUAGUAAAAAGGCUAAAUGAAUAUUUAGGGACGAGAAGACCCUAUGAAGCUUAAGAUAAAUUUAUUAGUAAUAAAUAUUAUUAUCUUUGGUUGGGGAAACAGAAUAAUAAAAAAUUUUAUUUUAUAGAGCCAAAUAAUUUUGAAUAAUUGAAAAAGUUACUCUAGGGAUAACAGCAUAAUAAAUAGAAUUUAGCUCUUAUAGAUUUUAUUGCUUGUGACCUCGAUGUUGGAUUAAUAAGUCUGCUAGUAGAAGCUUAUUAGUAAGAUAGUCUGUUCGACUAUAGAAUUAUUACA
rnacentral:rRNA from 1 species